rnacentral:rRNA from 1 species
GAUGAACGCUGGCGGCGUGCCUAAUACAUGCAAGUCGAGCGAACAGAUGAGGAGCUUGCUCCUCUGACGUUAGCGGCGGACGGGUGAGUAACACGUGGAUAACCUACCUAUAAGACUGGGAUAACUUCGGGAAACCGGAGCUAAUACCGGAUAAUAUAUUGAACCGCAUGGUUCAAUAGUGAAAGACGGUUUUGCUGUCACUUAUAGAUGGAUCCGCGCCGCAUUAGCUAGUUGGUAAGGUAACGGCUUACCAAGGCAACGAUGCGUAGCCGACCUGAGAGGGUGAUCGGCCACACUGGAACUGAGACACGGUCCAGACUCCUACGGGAGGCAGCAGUAGGGAAUCUUCUGCAAUGGGCGAAAGCCUGACGGAGCAACGCCGCGUGAGUGAUGAAGGUCUUCGGAUCGUAAAACUCUGUUAUUAGGGAAGAACAAAUGUGUAAGUAACUAUGCGCGUCUUGACGGUACCUAAUCAGAAAGCCACGGCUAACUACGUG